GACGAACGCUGGCGGCGUGCUUAACACAUGCAAGUCGAACGGUAAGGCUCCAGCUUGCUGGGGUACACGAGUGGCGAACGGGUGAGAAACACGUGGGUGACCUGCCCUGCACUUCGGGAUAAGCCUGGGAAACUGGGUCUAAUACCGGAUAGGACCGCACCGUGAGGGUGUGGUGGAAAGUUUUUUCGGUGUGGGAUGGGCCCGCGGCCUAUCAGCUUGUUGGUGGGGUAAUGGCCUACCAAGGCGGCGACGGGUAGCCGGCCUGAGAGGGUGGACGGCCACAUUGGGACUGAGACACGGCCCAGACUCCUACGGGAGGCAGCAGUGGGGAAUAUUGCACAAUGGGCGGAAGCCUGAUGCAGCGACGCCGCGUGGGGGAUGACGGCCUUCGGGUUGUAAACUCCUUUCACCAUCGACGAAGGGUUUCUGACGGUAGAUGGAGAAGAAGCACCGGCUAACUACGUG
rnacentral:rRNA from 1 species